AGUUGCACGUAAACUUUGAUCCGAAGAUUUCCGAAUGAGGAAACUCACUUAGAGUAAUGUCUAAGUAUCAUUAAGUGAAUACAUAGCUUAAUGAGGGGAACUCAGGGAACUGAAACAUCUAAGUACCGGAAGGAAGAGAAAGAAAUUCGAUUCCGUAAGUAGCGGCGAGCGAACGCGGAUUAGCCAAAACCAAUAAAGUUUUCUUUAUUGGGGUUGCGGACAUAUCAUAACGAAGAGGUAUCGUAAUUGAAGAGGUUUGGAAAGACCCACCACAGAAGGUAAUAGUCCUGUAUGUUAAACGAGAAGACUUUAGAUAUGAUCCAGAGUACCACGG
rnacentral:rRNA from 1 species